rnacentral:rRNA from 1 species
GACGAACGCUGGCGGCAUGCCUAAUACAUGCAAGUCGAGCGGACGUUUCAAAGAGCUUGCUCUUUGAAACGUUAGCGGCGGACGGGUGAGUAACACGUGGGCAACCUGCCCUACAGAUGGGGAUAACUCCGGGAAACCGGGGCUAAUACCGAAUAAUCAGUUGGUCCGCAUGGACCAACUCUGAAAGACGGUUUCGGCUGUCACUGUAGGAUGGGCCCGCGGCGCAUUAGCUAGUUGGUGGGGUAAUGGCCUACCAAGGCGACGAUGCGUAGCCGACCUGAGAGGGUGAUCGGCCACACUGGGACUGAGACACGGCCCAGACUCCUACGGGAGGCAGCAGUAGGGAAUCUUCCACAAUGGACGAAAGUCUGAUGGAGCAAUGCCGCGUGAGCGAAGAAGGUUUUCGGAUCGUAAAGCUCUGUUGUAAGGGAAGAACACGUACGGGAGUAACUGCCCGUACCUUGACGGUACCUUAUUAGAAAGCCACGGCUAACUACGUGCCAGCCGCCGCCGUAAGAC